rnacentral:lncRNA from 1 species
CAAAAGUGGCUUUCCUCGCCCUUCUCCCAGUUAAUUCAUGCUUCACUUCUGUGUCGCUGUCUGCUUCUUGAGGCUAACCCCCUCCAUUCCCAUCGUACACGCUCGGCGAGUGAACGGUUGCAGUCGCUGCCAGUUCUCCGUACCAAGGCGUACAGUUGUUGUCCAUGUGUCCAUGGGUUUCCGUUCCAUUUUUGUUUGUCCUUUGCUACGGAGCAAUUCCAAAUUCCGCCCUUACUUGUUGCUUUUCUCCGUAGACUCAGAAUGCAGAGCAGCCGACCAUCGCUGACGAGUCACCUCCUCCGGGCCCGGGAUGCAAAAUUGCGGUCCGGCCCGAUACACGCUACACGGCUGUUUCCAUUCGUUCCCUUUGUUUCCCUCGACGGACUGAUGGCGGCUACCACGAAAUAUCGAGUGCCGCAAGCAGUCCUCUGGAAAGAAAAAAGGUUUAUUGAGAAAAGAGAUGGAAAAUAAUCAAGACCGGAUGCGGCGAGAGCUAGGGUUGUGAGAACCUGGUAGAGUGUAGAAAGCGGAGCGAAGCAUGCAGGUCCUCUUGGUUGUGCUCCCCGUGCAUAAAUAUUUACAUACACAAGGCCAUUCUGUAUGCCUUUCACAAAAAGUUGAGAAGCAGGCUACGUGGCACCUGAUUGGACACUCGAGAACGCAAGACCGCGACACUUCCUAUCACGUGCUACCCCCUGGUUUGGCUUUGUUUUAGGAGAAUCUCUACAGAGCGAGAGCAGUGCGUCUCUUCUGUCCCCCAGUGUUCAUCUCUUCGUGAAAGCGAAGUACGCGUGCCAGAAGAAAGGCAUCUCCCGUGGGAGUACAUAUCUGAGAAGCCAGUGGUAAAAGGUAAUACAGAUACAGAUCGAAACUAGGCAUCCGAGCGGUAGUUAAAUAACAACAAUACCAGUUAUACACCCCUCGAGUCAGAUGGGCGGAAGUACACAAAAAUACGAAGAAAGCUGUUUUAGCACCGUCGCCUUUCUUUCCGCAGCGCCCCCGUUGGUUCCGUCUGCUUUCGCCCCUCUCUUCAUUUCCUUUUCCUGGGUGAAAGCCCCUCCUUCCCACUUGGUCGUCAGAAAGCGUCCAUUCACAUGCUGCCGAUCAUCCUGAGCUCACGAUCUCGGGAGUGAAACCGGAAAUCCUGGACAAGUACACAGAGACAAGGUGCCUGUGGGCUUCCGACACCAUUGUAUAAUCUCAGUAUGCUAGUAAGGUGCUUUGUGCAUCUUCCAUGUAAGGUUUUGUAAAUGUGAUUCCUUGUCUCUUCGUGUACGAGUGAAAGAGCUAAUUGCGUCGAAAGGGAAGCGUCUACGGCAGAGACAGUGUUUGCUGAAGAGUCUAGGCAAUCGGUUGUCCUCCUGGUUUAGAUUUCGAAGAUCUUCGCUAAACGGCCCCAAGCUCUAUAGUGUCCUAGCGCGUGUUUUAGAGCACUCUGUAUAUCCAUGAGUCUAUUCGGACACACCUUGUUUUUGAGUUGUGUGCUCGAAGAGCAUCAUCGACCGUUUCAGUGCUAGUCUCGCAUUCGCUGCUUCUACCCUCAGGUGACUUUUCUCUUCGAGAGCAUAGACACACAGAUGUCUCUGGGAAGUCAGCUGGCGGAAAGAUCCCCAACAAUGAUGGUCGAAAAUUCCCGGUACUACACGGGGAAACGCUCACAAGCUCACCCGUCAGAAUCCUGAUCUAGGUCUGAUCCUAUGACGCCCUAUCAUCUAGAGUGGAUGUCUGUAGGAUGGACGCUCAUAAAACUCUGCCUAUCCGCAAAAAAAUGUAACAUGGAUACUGCACUACGCAACACAUUCCGUCUUGGUGCAAUCUUUGUAACUAUAUAUGAACUUGUCUUCUCUAGAAAAAAUAUAUUCGGAGAUACUCCAAACCUAUUCCAUGUGAAAACAACUGUAAUGCGGAUACCACUACACUUUGUGCACUUAACAUGAUCAUCAUGGAAGGCGCAAUAGAACGUUGAUCCGGAAAACACAGAGCUUCAAGACCUGAACAACGAGUCCACCCCGUAGUAUAUACUCUCCAAAAAAUGCAAAUGCUCCAAUUUCACCCGGUUUCGGUGUAGUGUCUCAAACUCCAGCGGUCUUCAGUGGUCAUUCUAUGGUUCUAGCUCCUGUGACAUACCUCAGCUAUUCAAAAUUAGAAUGCCGCUCCACGAUAUCUCGCGGGUCAACGGAGACUCUUGUUUUACUGGAAAGCCAACAAAACGGUUCAAAUCGACCGUGUUUGGUGUAUGUCGUGCUGCAACUUCGAUUAACCUUGUCUUGCGUGGGGGGGACCCGAGGAUAGCAUGGUCUGGACAGUGUCAACUCUUUCCCUCACAGCAACGGCUGUGUUGGUGUAUAUGCAUACAGACAACUCCGAAGGGAACGUUGUGGACAGUCGCUUAGUUACUCUUACUUCCUCUUGCACUCCUUUGUCCCGGCAGGCGGCACAGGAGGGCGCGCUGACGAAUGGGAUGAGGUACCCCGUAGAACCAGUCGGAUUCUUCCACGGAGAUACUUGUCCCGCCUCCGUCUUGUUUUUUGCUGUUUACCAUUACCACCGUGCGAAGAAGGUUACCCCAAUGACUAAAGCGAAGAGGUUGUCCCUUUUCUGGGGAAGGACCGCAAAAAGCACACGAAGAAUUCGAUAGCUUUACUGACGACGGGUAACAAGCCAUGGUAUCGGCUGCGGAGGCGAGAGGGGACCCCUCACUUUCCGGCAGUGGUGAAGAGCGGCGAGGUCCUCUUGCGUUCCGUGUUUCCCUUCUUCCAAAGGAGUUUUGUUUUAGACGUAUACGGAAGAAAUCAAAGAAAUGUGCAUCCAUUUUUAACUCCCCUGGUGGCUCUUCUGCUAGCCCUGUCGCAGGGCCCCGGGUGCCCGCGCUGCUGUUGUGGGCUCCUCUGUUCCCCUUGAGGGUAGCUGACGGGCCUGAAGCUCAGCCCCGCCAGGUGUUACUUCCUUUCUGUUUUUUCUGUGUGUUUUCCGUUUCCCUUCUCCCCGAGAAGCGGGCUGACUCCCCAGAUUCGCUGGGAAAACCGGUUCGCCCUCUAGCGUACUUGACAUGGCAUCUGUGUCUACUCUGUCAUUGAACGUCGCCUCUCUUUCCUCAGCCCUCUGUGUACCGCUUCUCUUUUUCUAACAGCAGACUACGCGCUAUGCCAGAGAAUUCCUGUUCACAGGCGAGAGAAUCUCUAGGACUCUCGGCUCCCCGCGAAUUCGUGUUUGGGUUCACUCCACUUCAAGACCCGUCUUUCUGCAGCAGACGCUCGUCUUUCGCAUGUGGCCUAGCCAUUUUGUCUCUACAGAGGAGUCCACGCAACAGCUCCUUUCCACAUUUUCCAGAUUUCGCAGUUGUUCUCUAGAAGCUCAGGUGCAGCGGGCUCUGUGUGUGAGGCGGCACGCUGGGACGUCUGUACCCCGGCUGGCUGCCAUGUAAACGACGCGUAGAACGGACAUCUGUGUCCAGGCGACUUUCGAGCUUUCUGUCUUGGCUAUUCCUUUCUGCUGGAAAUGUGUUCUUCCCGCCUUGCUCGCCGUCCACAUUCGGCGUCCGUGGCGCUCUGGCUCACGAAAGAAGCCACCACAACCGCCACUCUCCAAGUACCGUCCCUCCUUGCGAUUUAUGUUUGGUCUCUACCGCCACCUUUCUAAUUUUCGCUUCUUCCUCGUUCGCUUUCGUUGCAUCUACCUCCAUUUCUUCUCGAUCGGUGUACAAAACUCGACAAAGGACGCCCAGAAUUUUGAUGGCAACUCAGCAGAUCCCGAGAGGACAGAUUUACG